AAAAUCAAUUAAUUCAUUACUUACACAUGCAAGUCUCCGCAUACCCGUGAAAACGCCCCCACCCCCUUUUUCAGGAACAAGGAGCUGAUAUCAGGCACUUCUCAUUGCCCAUAACAUCUAGCUACGCCACACCCACAAGGGCUUCCAGCAGUGAUUAACAUUAAAAAUAAACGUCAGUUUGAUUUAGUUAAUGAACAAGAGAGUCGGCCAAUUUGGUGCCAGCCGCCGCGGUUACACCUUAAGACUCAAAUUGAUUGCAUACGGCGUAAAGCGUGAUUAAAGAAAAACACUAUUGAAGUUUAAACUAAACCGUGAUACGUUUGUUUACAGGAAAGUCUCUUCGAAAGAUACUUCAACUCAUCAACUUGA
rnacentral:rRNA from 1 species